rnacentral:lncRNA from 12 species
GCUACAGAGCUGCUAAAAUAACUUUGCUUUGGCUAUUAAGUUGUUAGGGUAAGAAAUAAAAGUCUUCCCUUCCCUUCCCUUCCCUUCCCUUCCCUGAAACUUCCCUUCCCUGAAACUUCCCUUCCCUUCCCGAAACUUCCCUUCCCUUCCCGAAACUUCCCUUCCCUUCCCGAAACUUCCCUUCCCUUCCCGAAACUUCCCUUCCCUUCCCGAAACUUCCCUUCCCUUCCCGAAACUUCCCUUCCCUUCCCGAAACUUCCCUUCCCUUCCCGAAACUUCCCUUCCCUUCCCGAAACUUCCCUUCCCUUCCCGAAACUUCCCUUCCCUUCCCGAAACUUCCCUUCCCUUCCCGAAACUUCCCUUCCCUUCCCGAAACUUCCCUUCCCUUCCCGAAACUUCCCUUCCCUUCCCGAAACUUCCCUUCCCUUCCCGAAACUUCCCUUCCCUUCCCGAAACUUCCCUUCCCUUCCCGAAACUUCCCUUCCCUUCCCGAAACUUCCCUUCCCUUCCCGAAACUUCCCUUCCCUUCCCGAAACUUCCCUUCCCUUCCCGAAACUUCCCUUCCCUUCCCGAAACUUCCCUUCCCUUCCCGAAACUUCCCUUCCCUUCCCGAAACUUCCCUUCCCUUCCCGAAACUUCCCUUCCCUUCCCGAAACUUCCCUUCCCGAAACUUCCCUGAAACUUCCCUUCCCUGAAACUUCCCUUCCCUGUAACUUCCCUUCCCUUCCCUGAAACUUCCCUUCUUUCCUUCUUUCUUUUCUAUUCUCUCUUUUGCCUAACCCCUCAUUUCAGCUUCCACAGUAAGAUUUUCUCUCAGUGUCAGAUCGAUAGAGCCCCUUCUCCCUGUGUGCUGGGGAGCCCAAAGCAGCAUGUGCAGCCCCCUCACCUGCCCUGGAUCCCAUCACCUGGCCCUUUUUAACCAGUGG